rnacentral:rRNA from 1 species
AACGAACGCUGGCGGCAUGCCUAACACAUGCAAGUCGAACGAGACCUUCGGGUCUAGUGGCGCACGGGUGCGUAACGCGUGGGAAUCUGCCCUUGGGUUCGGAAUAACAGCGAGAAAUUGCUGCUAAUACCGGAUGAUGACGUAAGUCCAAAGAUUUAUCGCCCAAGGAUGAGCCCGCGUAGGAUUAGCUAGUUGGUGAGGUAAAGGCUCACCAAGGCGACGAUCCUUAGCUGGUCUGAGAGGAUGAUCAGCCACACUGGGACUGAGACACGGCCCAGACUCCUACGGGAGGCAGCAGUGGGGAAUAUUGGACAAUGGGCGAAAGCCUGAUCCAGCAAUGCCGCGUGAGUGAUGAAGGCCUUAGGGUUGUAAAGCUCUUUUACCCGGGAUGAUAAUGACAGUACCGGGAGAAUAAGCUCCGGCUAACUCCCGUGCCAGCAGCCGCGGUAAU